GCCCACUUUUGUUCGCAGUCAUAUGACGUCACGUACGUCAGUCGACGUGAGCUGCAUGAAGGUAUUUCGGUGACGGUCCUCCGCUGCGCGAGCGUGACUCGUGCUUCAGUGAGGACAUCAGCCAGAGGAUGCGCGUGCCCGAUCGCCUGAGGGUCGGUCCAGCGCGUCACGCGCACGCACCUGCUGACCAAAGAUCCGAAGAGCUACCUGCUGCCUACAGCAUGCACAUACCAGACAGACUGUCCUUAACAGAUACUCCUGAUCUGAGUCCACGACCUCUCUUCACUAAACACACUUCAUCAAUGUGGGACCUGCAGCACGGGUCCUGGGACAGGGAGGCGUUCAUGAGAGAGCCUGUCCAGAGUCCACUGCGAAGAUCUUAUAGUGACCAGGCUAUUGGUCGAACCCCACCUGGAACCCCCACACACUCCAGACAAACACUUCGCUCCCAGUCUCCCCACAGUAUUGGACGCCCACCCGUCAUGCUUACAGACUCAUCCCCACCAAAGUCCCCAGGGCACCCCGCCAUCCCACCCAACCUGCUGUCCCCACAGAGCAUGCUGCAGGCCGCCAAGGAGCUGGGCCAGCAGGCGUCUCAGAAACUCCUCCAGACCGUAACCAAAAAAUACUCCUCCAGUGCCUCGCAGGAGUUCUGGCUCAGUCCUGAGGAGGACACAGGUACUGCUGUCGAGUUCAUGGUGCUCCGCAGACAGGUGGUGAAGAUGAGCAGGAGGAUAGCAGGGGUGGAGAGACAGAACGCAGAGCACAAACAGACAGAGCUGGUGCUGUUCUCUCUGUUACUGUCUGCCUGUCUGAUCAACGGCUGGCUGUGGAUGCGCAGAUGACGGAUCACACUCCAUAACACUACACUAUACAGACAGCACUACAAGAGCAACAGAGCUGUUUACCGGGAAGUGCAUAACUGCACAUAGUUUUUAUAGUGCUUUACUAAAUUUGUUCUCUACAAAAUGAUGGUAAAUGGAUGGUUUAGAAACCACUCCUAUAGAGGAUUGUCAUCAGAAUGAGGCAUGAAUGUCUGAACCAUCCACUCGUAUGUGUCGUGAUCACGGUAGUGACAUGGGCUACUUUGUGUUACAAGUGAUUUGAGGAACUUGAGCAUGUUUUUCUCCUCGUGAGAGUUUCACUGAUGAUGUCAUUCAGUAAUGCAGUCUCUCUGGCUCUUUUGAUCAGACUAGUAGCUAGGUUUUGUAUUUGAUUUAUUCUGCAAAUUAAGUAAAUGCAAAAAUAGAUUUCCUGCAUGCUUUACAAGCCUCACAGCUAAGUAUUUAAGAAAGUAUAAAUAUGAGUAUUUAUUUAUAUUUCCUUUUUUUCUACCAAUUGGGCAUUUGAAUAGCCUUCAGCCAUUUUAACUCACUUGCCCAGCCUGAUGUAUGAUGAAUAUUUAAAAUAAUAAAAAUUGUAAUUAGUCUCAGAUGUCUCAUUCUCUUA
rnacentral:lncRNA from 1 species